AAGACACAUUUUUCUGAAAACUUAGCCUUAUCAAUUUUUCAUUACCAAAAUAGAAAAACAAAGUAUCGGGACCAAACUCGAGUUUUCCUAUUGGUAUUUACAAAUAUCGUUGAUAGGUAAACGAUUUUGACCGGUUAAUUUAUUUUAUGUUUUAAAAGUUAUAAAUUAAACAAUAACUAAGAAUAAAAAUUCAAAAGAAAACUCCACCUCCCGUUCAAAAAACGAAGAACGGGAGAAAACCGCAAUACUGCCACCAGGCUACAAAAUUAAAUCACAUUCAACCAUCCUCUUCUUUUCUGCCUACCACGCUCUACAGCCGCCUCCUUCUGCACAAAUAUCGUCUCCAAUAUCGUGCCAAACUCCAGCAUCUGUAUUUCCACUGACGCAUCAAUCCGCCGUCUCAAUGAUGUAUCAUCUGGGAAGAGCUCUUUUUUCGGCUACGGUAUGAUAUCAGGGACAUCCUCAAACAUGGUUUAAAUCCCUGAAAAAAUAUAAACCAA